UACGUAGGGUGCGAGCGUUGUCCGGAAUUAUUGGGCGUAAAGAGCUUGUAGGCGGUUUGUCGCGUCUGCUGUGAAAUCUCAAGGCUCAACCUUGAGCUUGCAGUGGGUACGGGCAGACUAGAGUGUGGUAGGGGAGACUGGAAUUCCUGGUGUAGCGGUGAAAUGCGCAGAUAUCAGGAGGAACACCGAUGGCGAAGGCAGGUUUCUGGGCCACUACUGACGCUGAGAAGCGAAAGCAUGGGGAGCGAACAGG
rnacentral:rRNA from 1 species